CCUACGGGAGGCAGCAGUGAGGAAUAUUGGUCAAUGGACGAGAGUCUGAACCAGCCAAGUAGCGUGAAGGAUGACUGCCCUAUGGGUUGUAAACUUCUUUUAUAUGGGAAUAAAAUGUUCCACGUGUGGGAUUUUGUAUGUACCAUAUGAAUAAGGAUCGGCUAACUCCGUGCCAGCAGCCGCGGUAAUACGGAGGAUCCGAGCAUUAUCCGGAUUUAUUGGGUUUAAAGGGAGCGUAGGUGGAUUGUUAAGUCAGUUGUGAAAGUUUGCGGCUCAACCGUAAAAUUGCAGUUGAAACUGGCAGUCUUGAGUACAGUAGAGGUGGGCGGAAUUCGUGGUGUAGCGGUGAAAUGCUUAGAUAUCACGAAGAACUCCGAGUGCGAAGGCAGUUCACUGGACUGCAACUGACACUGAGGCUCGAAAGUGUGGGUAUCAAACAGGAUUAGAUACCCUAGUAGUC
rnacentral:rRNA from 1 species